UAAAAGCUACAACUAAACGCACGGCUUGUAUUUGUAGCAACGUUUUUUUGCAAUUUUCUUAUGUGUGUGUGUUUGAGACCAAGUUUAAAAAUGCCGUGGUGGGGCAUAUACUAUGCAUGUAAAGAAGUAAUGCAGAUUGUGCUUUCACGCCUAUGAUUGGCGCAGUGGCGAGGAAGCUACAAAUGGCAGUGUGGCACGUGCCGCUGAUGAUCGCGCUCUAAUAACGCCCAGUGUUGGCACAGCAUCGAACAAAGCGCAUAAAAAAGUGAUAGUACAUUUGCCAGUAAUUAAUAAAUAGUUCAAGCCUAGAAUAUACACUGGUGAAUGUCAUUGGAAGUGACAUAGGUUAUGACGAUAAGCGCACAGAGUGCUACAUAUGCCACAAAUUGAUUUUGUGUGAAAUAUUAAUUGAAUUUUAAUAUGAUAAGCGGCAAGUUCAAACUGAUAUGCUAUCGUGACGGGAAAACUCUGUCAGGUCAGAACUUGAGAUAGCAGUUCUCUACAACCUUUUGAACAGAUUAUAAAGCGGAUAAUAAGCUACCGCGACAGUCUAGUCUGCGUCACCGGAACGGACCCGGAUUUUUAUGCGGCUAAGGACUGUCUGGGCACUGGGCGCCAUGCCUCGAAAUUACUUCAAUAAUGUUUUCUGCUGCUACAAAAACCACAACAACAUAAUAAAACGAUUUUUACGUACUACGAAACGAGUACCAACGCAUCACUUAAUAUUUGUAUGUGCGCUUUUUCAGUGCUUCAGCGCUAGCAUACGAGUACAUAUGUACUUAUAUGUAGUUGCUAUAAGAUUGAUUUUUGGCACAUUUAAACAAAAUGUUGCACUGAGUGAAUACGUAUGCGAAAACGCAAUUUAUUUUAAUAGAUCAUAACGUCUGUGGAUUAUGCUGUUGUUGCGCGCUUAAGCAAUUGAAGUUGUUUAUAACCAAAUUCACAAACGCCUCAUCAUUUAAUCAAUUAUUUAAUUUUCAUUUGCACUUUUUUUCCAAUUACGUGUUGAAGUCUUUUAAUAAAAUUUAAACCGUGAAAAAUUGUUGUUUUGAUUAAUUAAUUAAGGCGCGCACAAAAAAAAAAAAAAAUUGACGGCGUUUAAUAAAUAAAAUAAACGCCGACAAACCGUGAGGAAAAAGAAAAAAAAUUAUAAAAUUGAAAAAAGUCGCCUUGUUGUGGCGCGAUUAAACGCACGCGCUUAGUGUCGUCGUUGGACAGUGGCGCUAUUGUUGUUGUAAGCCUUACUGUUGGUUUUUUCUUUCGUUUUUUUUCUGCUAUUAAUUCGUUUUAAUAUAAUUCAAUUCCAAACGCUUUUGCAAUUGUGGGAAUUUCAUCAGCGUCGCUGUGCCGAUUUUCCGUGUUUGAGUACCGCGUGCAUUUAUUCGAAAGGCUGCUUAUAAUACGGUAUUGUUUUUUAGCUGUAUUUAGCCGUUAGUUUUCUCACUUAAACU